GACGAACGCUGGCGGCGUGCCUAAUACAUGCAAGUCGAACGAGAGCGACCGGUGCUUGCACUGGUCAAUCUAGUGGCGAACGGGUGAGUAACACGUGGGUAACCUGCCCAUCAGAGGGGGAUAACAUUCGGAAACGGAUGCUAAAACCGCAUAGGUCUUCGAACCGCAUGGUUUGAAGAGGAAAAGAGGCGCAAGCUUCUGCUGAUGGAUGGACCCGCGGUGCAUUAGCUAGUUGGUGAGGUAACGGCUCACCAAGGCCGUGAUGCAUAGCCGACCUGAGAGGGUGAUCGGCCACAUUGGGACUGAGACACGGCCCAAACUCCUACGGGAGGCAGCAGUAGGGAAUCUUCCGCAAUGGACGCAAGUCUGACGGAGCAACGCUGCGUGAGUGAAGAAGGUUUUCGGAUCGUAAAACUCUGUUGUUAGAGAAGAACAAGUGCUAGAGUAACUGUUAGCGCCUUGACGGUAUCUAACCAGAAAGCCACGGCUAACUACGUG
rnacentral:rRNA from 1 species